UUUUUUUUGGCUUGACUUUCUUAAAGGGGAAGGGUUGUUUUAAACUUUUUACACUGCUGUUGGGAGGAAAUACUCCCCUGUUGGAGUUCUUCCAGCCAGGGUGCAAUGAUCAGCACUUUGAAGAAAUAAUUGAAUAACGAAGCAGAAGCUUUUAAUGACAAGGAACCAAGAUGAGUGACAUUCAGCAAGGCUUCUUGGCUAGCUAGAAAGAUUGACAUUCAAACGUCAGAAAACCUGGACCUGGAAUAUCCAUGGGCAGCUUGUUUCCAUUCCAUUAUUUCCCUCCUGAAAGGAAGUAAUUGUAGUCUGGAUUUCCAGGAGGGAGAAAUUCCAGAGGACCAAGAGACAGCAAACUUUAGAUGGUUUGGCUGGAAGAAAGAGAGUUAAGAUGGCGCCUCCCUAGCAAUUCUUAGAGUAUAACUCUAUGUAAGAAGUUGCUUUAGUUUGGCAAGAUUUCUGGCUGUGGAUGAGGAGCAGAAAAGGAAACUGCUUGGAAGUAAUCCUAUGUGUCUUUCUUGGUUUUUUGGGUCUGACAAUUACAGAGAUGUGGAAACAAAAAGAUCUGCUCCACCAUUAGGAAGAAGGAGGAAAGUGAUUUGGGAUAUCUUUGAAGAGACAAAAUGGGACUUACCAUCCAAAUGCUUGAAUAAUUGGGUUAAGUUUGAAUGCCAUGCUUGACCAGUGUGAUAGGAAUCGGGCAAUCCUGCUUUGGCUUAGGCAUCAAGAGAUAUGCUGGGUAAACUGGGUAAUGGGAUCCAGGUGCUGUGACACUUUUGAAAUCAUAUUAAAAAAGAGCUGCGCAUAUAAAAA